rnacentral:rRNA from 1 species
GGGCGCCUAUACAUGCAGUCGAGCGAAUGGAUUAAGAGUUGCUCUUAUGAAGUUAGCGGCGGACGGGUGAGUAACACGUGGGUAACCUGCCCAUAAGACUGGGAUAACUCCGGGAAACCGGGGCUAAUACCGGAUAACAUUUUGAACCGCAUGGUUCGAAAUUGAAAGGCGGCUUCGGCUGUCACUUAUGGAUGGACCCGCGCCCCAUUAGCUAGUUGGUGAGGUACCCCUCACCAAGGCAACGAUGCGUAGCCAACCUGAAAGGGGAUCGGCCAAAGGGGGAGUGAGACCGGCCCAAAUACUACGGGGGCAGCAG